ensembl:snoRNA
GUCCUUUUGUGGCUCAUGAGCAUGAUGAUUGGGUGCUCAUACGUGUGAGAGAUGUGCUAUCCUGGAAGGUUGUUACGAUGUAGGCACAUUACCUGUCUGACC